GAUUCAUCGUAAUUUUCUUGUGUUUCGUACGCAAUUGUCACUCUUCGCUUAAGGAGUAAUAUGGAUUAGGCACGCUGAUUGAUAAAGUCUUUAAACCAAUCUAACUCCAUUUUGAUUACCUACACCUUUCAAGUGUCGGGCAAUCGUGCGUCGCACAGCAGAGAUGGCAAUCGUACCAUCUAAUCCUGUACUUUCUAGAGCUACUAAAAAGCGCUAGCAUCUGGUUGAGAUCGAUCUUAAGUUAUCUGGUGGCAGCUGUAGCUGCGAAUCGUUGAAAUACGAGUGACUAAACGAGUCCUCGAAGUCUCCAGUAGUGGAGUUAACAGGUACCUUAGCUCGAGCUAGCAUUUUCCAAUUGUGCAAUGCUUUUGAGCAAUGUAUGGCUUGUCCAUUUGAAAGCGAAGUUCAUUUUUGAUUUUCGUCUAUGAGGCAUCCGUCCAUAAGCAACUUGAAUCCGAGGAAAAGAUUUAUCUCUACCGUUUUAUUUUUACGGGCCCCUUUAUUGAGAUAUACCAAAAAUGUUAACCUCUGAUCUAUAGUAAGAUGCGAAUGUGUUUCGGUACUUCAACGAGAUCACUAUGAUUUACAAACAAGAGAAGUUGCACAAAGUAGCCCCACUCGAAAAAAAAUUUGCCCCAAGGAAUUUAUUUUCGAUCUGAGCUGAAAAAUGAAUUUCCACAAACUACAAAACUGCCGCAAAUCCAAAUGAUUCCACAUUAGAAACGCUGGAUAUAACACAUGCUUCUUUUCUUUAGGUCGCACAUAAUGAGGUGAAUGAAUUUAUUAACCCAGGUAACAUUGGAAAUAUGUCGACAUCCGGUAAAAGGCCAACUAAUACUGCCAAAGAAUGGGGCCGCGAAUAGCCAUCAGGACAUAGAAUUAAUGAUUCGGGAAGGAUAAAGUCUAACUCAAGCGCAGAGCAACGGUGUAGGGAAAUGGCGGCCGACACGUCAACACCACUGCGUCGAGCGAAAGUAGUCGCCGCGCCGACGACGGAAAAAAGACGGCGAGCAAAACUUGGCAUGGAAUUACUGACAUCAAAGUACCUGUGCAUUAACGUGACCCCACUACGUAGUCCCGGCUGAACAAUGAAUCAUUUUAGUUAAAAUCGGUCA